rnacentral:rRNA from 1 species
AUGGUGCGAUAUAUGAUGUCUCUUACCGAUCUACCACUAUCGUUUUGGGGUUAUGCAUUAGAGACAACUGCAUUCACGUUAAAUAGGGUACCAUCUAAAUCCGUUGAGACGACAUCUUAUGAACUGUGGUUUGGCAAGAAACCAAAGUUGUCGUUUCUUAAAGUUUGGGGUUGCGAUGCUUAUGUGAAAAAGUUUCAUCCUGAUAAGCUCAAACCCAAAUCGGAGAAAUGUGUCUUCAUAGGAUACCCAAAGGAGACAGUUGGGUACACCUUCUAUCACAGAUCCGAAGGCAAGACAUUCGUUGCUAAGAAUGGAUCCUUUCUAGAGAAGGAGUUUCUCUCGAAAGAAGUGAGUGGGAGGAAAGUAGAACUUGAUGAGGUAACUGUACCUGCUCCCUUAUUGGAAAGUAGUUCAUCGCAGAAACCAGUUUCUGUGACGCCUAUACCAAUUAGUGAGGAAGCUAAUGAUGAUGAUCAUGGAACUUCAGAUCAAGUUAUUACUGAACCUCGUAGGUCAACCAGAGUAAGAUCCGCACCAGAGUGGUACGGUAAUCCUGUUCUGGAGGUUAUGUUACUAGACCAUGACGAACCUACGAACUAUGAAGAAGCGAUGGUGAGCCCAGAUUCCGCAAAAUGGCUUGAGGCCAUGAAAUCUGAGAUGAGAUCCAUGUAUGAGAACAAAGUAUGGACUUUGAUUGACUUGCCCAAUGAUCGGCGAGCCAUUGAGAUUAAAUGGAUCUUCAAGAGGAAGACGGACGCUGAUAGUAGUGUUACUAUCUACAAAGCUAGAAUUGUCGCAAAAGGUUUUCGACAAGUUUAA